UUUUCCUCUUCCUUCCCCUUUCCCAUUCCUUCUUUCCUUUCCUUCUUUCCUUUCCCUUCCAUUCUUCCUUUCCUUUUCUCUCCUUUUCCCCCUUCUCUUCUUUCAUUUCUUCCCUUUCUUUCUGGCUUCCCUUCCAUAUCAGCCUUCCUCCCUCCCUCCCCUCCCUUUCUCCCUUUCCUCUCCUGUCCUUUCCUCCCCUCUCCUGCCUUGUCCCCCCGCCUUCCUUCCUUCCUUCCUUCCUUCCUUCCUUCCUUCCUUCCUUCCUUCCUUCCUUCCUUCCUUCCUUCCUUCCUUCCUUCCUUCCUUCCUUUCCCUCCCCCCCCCCUCUUUCCAUUUUCCAUUCUUGUGGGGAACCUGCCCUAGUUCAUUUAUAUUUCUCUUUAGGACUUCGCUCCAAAUCUAGUGAAUUCCCCUUGCCCACCCCCAAAAUGUAGGAUUGCUAAACUUGGAUGCAAUCCUCUUUUUAAGCAAUGUUAUGCCUGCCUCUCCAAGUUGCAUAAAAGUGCGGAUGAAAUUGCCCCUAGAUUCCGCCUCCCCCCCCCACCCCUUUUGGGGUGGUUUCAAAUUUCUUUUCCAGGAUUCCAAAGAUCCCCAAACACAAGCCUCCUCGUGUCUUAAGCAGCCGAUUGCUGGGUGUACAUUCUCCGAAAAUCUUACAAAUGGAGCCUGCAAACUCUUUUCUGUUUUAAUUCCUCCCUCCCUCCCUCUGGAAUUUGCAAGCUGUUGAGCUGGAAUCUUGUCUUGCACUGAUGCAAUUCUGGGAUUUUUUUUCCCCCCGGGUGGGUGGGGUAAUCCUGUGACUUUCUCAGAGCACCAAACAGAUGGACGGACGACUGUUAUUUUAAAAAAUAAUAAUAAUUUUCCUGCUUCCUUAAUGUCUGUGGAUCUUCUCCUUCCUGUCCCCCUUUCCCACCUUCCCAGCCCAGGAGCAGGAAGUGUAGAUCAUGCUGACUUGAUAAAAGUUAAUUUAUCGAAGAAAAAGUGGUUUUCUGUUAACAAUGUUUACAGCUAUUUUUCAAAGUCUUAAUUUGUUUCUCUUUCGAGCCGCCUUUGUAAAAACUGUCUUGAGUGUAAAUUUUGGAAUAAUGGGGAGACGGGGAAAAAAAAACUUGACAGACGCAGAGACUCAGAUUCCAAGCGAAUAAAUGCUCCGAAUGAAUCAAUUAAACAUGGCAAAUUGGAAUUCUUUGCUCAUCUGUUGCUGUCUAUUUCAUGCUUUGAACGGGAGCUGCUCCUUUUCGGAAUCUUCCGACGUGCAUUUUUAAAACCAUCCAACAGGGGGCCCUUUGGCGUGGAAAAAGCCCCAAGAGAAACACAUCCUGGCCUCCAGGGGGCGACAAAAGGCUGCUGUAUGCAAAAUAGGUCAGCUUGCUGCAAAAAAAAACCCCAAAAAACCUACCCUUACUUGUAUCUGUCAAUCAAACCCAGACAGUUUCCGAGCCGUCCAGCAUCUGUAUUUGCAGCUGGAGCAGCUCCUGCUGGGCUCUUGACGUUGAUCGGAAAUGCAUCUGGUGGGACGUUCGGCAGGCGUGACUCAGUUUCCCCUGCGGGCUUCCCCCACCCUUCAAUUUAAUGGCUUCUGGGAUCCUGUUUUAGCCCCUUCGCCCAUCCGAGGAGUUUAAAAUAAACAACAACCAGAACUGACAAUGAACAAGAGUCCUUUUACAACGAGGAGGAAUGCUAAAAACCUACGAGCUCUUUUCACACAAACCGGCUGAACAAGUCCGAAGUCCCGAGUGUUGCUCUUCAACGUGACGGAGACCGCGAUACGGCGGCUUUGCUGAAACUUUUGCUGCCAGGGGUAAAAGCUUGCCAGACCAUCCCAACGAGCAGAUAAAGAUUUGGCGAUUGCAGCUCUUCUACUUUUCCAGAGACGAUUAAGGAAAAUAUGCAGGUCGAGCUGCCAAACGGGACCGGAUGUAUCCUGUUGGGAAUUGGAGGGACCGAGAGGGAGGGCAAAUAAAGAUAAGGGAGUCUCGUAUGUGGGGGGGGGGGGGAGGCCAAAUUCCAGCCUUCGCAUCCCCAGAUAAAUCUGGGAAAGAUCACUACUCUAACCUCCUCCAUUUGGUCACCUUGAGUUAAACCGAUGGCCGAAGAACUUGCAAUGUUCCCGUUAUAACAUUUGUUCCUCCAGAAUCAUGAGGACUAGUGACCACAAAGCAGAAAACCCAAGUUUCUGGUACCUGCAAACACCCUUCCCUUGGAUUGUCGAGCUCUGACCACAACAUUUCAUCUCUGAUGGGGGUGGUUACGUGGGUGGGUGGGUGCGUGCCAUUCCCCCUCCCCCUCCUGCAAACCGGCAUUCCUUGGGAAAGC